rnacentral:piRNA from 2 species
UACUAGGCAGGGAGAGCCACAUUUUUAGAAA